rnacentral:rRNA from 1 species
UUGCCCCGAGAUGAGUCUUCCCUGAGACUUUGAGUCUCCUGAAGGAACGUUAAAGACGAUGACGUUGAUAGGCCGGGUGUGUAAGCGCAGCGAUGCGUUGAGCUAACCGGUACUAAUGAACCGUGAGGCUUAACCUU